rnacentral:rRNA from 1 species
CCUACGGGAGGCAGCAGUGGGGAAUAUUGCACAAUGGGGGAAACCCUGAUGCAGCGACGCCGCGUGAGUGAAGAAGUAAUUCGUUAUGUAAAGCUCUAUCAGCAGGGAAGAAAAUGACGGUACCUGACUAAGAAGCCCCGGCUAACUACGUGCCAGCAGCCGCGGUAAUACGUAGGGGGCAAGCGUUAUCCGGAUUUACUGGGUGUAAAGGGAGCGUAGACGGCAGAGCAAGUCUGAAGUGAAAGGCGGGGGCUCAACCCCCGGACUGCUCUUGAAACUGUACGGCUGGAGUGCAGGAGAGGUAAGUGGAAUUCCUAGUGUAGCGGUGAAAUGCGUAGAUAUUAGGAGGAACACCAGUGGCGAAGGCGGCUUACUGGACUGUAACUGACGUUGAGGCUCGAAAGCGUGGGGAGCAAACAGGAUUAGAUACCCUUGUAGUC